rnacentral:rRNA from 1 species
UACGGGGGGAGCAAGCGUUGUUCUGAUUUACUGGGCGUAAAGGGCGCGUAGGCGGCCAGCACAAGUCAGUUGUGAAAUCUCCGAGCUUAACUCGGAAAGGUCAACUGAUACUGUGCGGCUAGAGUGCGGAAGGGGCAACUGGAAUUCUUGGUGUAGCGGUGAAAUGCGUAGAUAUCAGGAGGAACACCGGUGGCGAAGGCGGCUUGCUGGGCCAGUUCUGACGCUGAGGAGCGAAAGCGUGGGGAGCGAACAGG